GACGAACGCUGGCGGCGUGCUUAACACAUGCAAGUCGAACGGAAAGGCCCCUUUGGGGGUACUCGAGUGGCGAACGGGUGAGUAACACGUGAGUAACCUGCCCUUGACUUCGGGAUAACUUCAGGAAACUGGGGCUAAUACCGGAUAGGAAUCCUUGCUGCAUGGUGGGGGUUGGAAAGCUUCGGCGGUUUUGGAUGGACUCGCGGCUUAUCAGCUUGUUGGUGGGGUAGUGGCUUACCAAGGCUUUGACGGGUAGCCGGCCUGAGAGGGCGACCGGCCACAUUGGGACUGAGAUACGGCCCAGACUCCGACGGGAGGCAGCAGUGGGGAAUAUUGCACAAGGGGCGGAAGCCUGAUGCAGCAACGCCGCGUGCGGGAGGACGGCCUUCGGGUUGUAAACCGCUUUCAGCAGGGGCGAAGCUUGUGGUGACGGUACCUGCAGAAGAAGCACCGGCUAACUACGUG
rnacentral:rRNA from 1 species